rnacentral:piRNA from 1 species
UCACUGAGAACAAGAAAAGGUGAUCGGAAA